UUACCCACUGUAUGUUUAUUUACCAUUGCAUUGGGUUACCCCCUACCUCCAUCAUGCCUCUACCCACGCAGUACUAUUUAUUAUCAUUUGUUUUGGCAAUCCAUCCCCAUUUAUCGAAGAUCCUCGCAUAUUCCCCCCAGUCCACCGCACAGGGUAUAUUGCUCCGGCGGGUUGGUGCCACGCAUGACCACCAUAUAUGGCGGAAUGAUUCUCCUGAAGAAGUGGUCAAACCACGAAACUAGUCGAGACUCAGAUCAUUCCAUAUGGUUGUAAAUUACAGAAAUUGCCUCGAGUUAUCUUAGGCCUCUGUUUUUUCUAUUUUAAUCAUGUAUUUAUUGUACAAUCCUUUAUGUAAUAAAUUUCUUUUUAAAUUAUAUGUAUGCUAUUUUUACUGUACCAAGACAGUCCUUAAAUUUUAGGGGGAGGGAACAUUAUUGGGCCAACUUCAGCUAUUGUCCCUCUUUCCCUCUUGCCCCGCCCUUCUCUGUUGUUAUAUACUUUCCCGGAUGAUGGUACACCCCUAUUGAUUACUACCCUAUGUAUAGGAGGCUAU